rnacentral:rRNA from 1 species
GUAGUCUGCAACCCGACUACAUNAAGCUGGAAUCGCUAGUAAUCGCGAAUCAGAAUGUCGCGGUGAAUACGUUCCCGGGUCUUGUACACACCGCCCGUCACACCAUGGGAGUCAGUAACGCCCGAAGUCAGUGACCCAACCGGAAGGAGGGAGCUGCCGAAGGCGGGACCGGUAACUGGGGUGAAGUCGUAACAAGGUACC